UUGAAAAUGAACUGAAAUUUUUUUUUCUUUGCUUUUCUCUCAUUAUGGUAAAACAAACGUUAUCCUCUCUGUGGCAUUUCGUUAUUUGUGUCUUAAUUUACGACCACAAUGGCUGACAAUGUUUGCUGGCGUUUUGGGGAGUAGUUUAGUUAUUUGCAUUUAACCUGGAAAUGUUAACGUGAAAGAACCAGAACCGAACAAAGAAAAAGUUGAACCAAUACAUUCUGUGCUUGACCUUACAAGCCAAAGGUUGUCACAGAUAUGGAUGAAGCAGACUUUGCAAAGGAACUGGAAAAACUUGAACGUCAAAAUGGAGAAGUUGAUGGUGAUGAUGAUAAUUCUGAUGACGAAGAAGAACAAGAUGAAGCAUAAAUAAUUGUGGUUUGUUUUAAAACAUUUUCAGAGAGAAUGAUAGAUUGGCUGACAAGUGCUAAUUUAAUAACAAAGAAGUUAAACUUUAACCUCUAUUCAAACACCAUUCGGACACCAAUUUUUUCUUGUGACUAUUCAAAAUAAUAUUUCACGCCCAUGUUCAAUGUGUUGUGUGAAAAUUUUCGUAGGUUUGCUUAGGUUAAAAUGAAGUCUAUAAGAGAAAUUAAAAUUGACAGUAGUUUGAACCUCUA